rnacentral:rRNA from 1 species
CUGCCCAAUGAUAAAUUUAUUUAAUGGCUGCAGUAUAAAUAACUGUACAAAGGUAGCAUAAUAAUUAGUUUUCUAAUUAAAAACUAGAAUGAAAGAUUAAAUGAAAUAUAAACUGUUUCAAUAAAAAUAAUUAAAAUUAUUAUUUAAGUUAAAAUUCUUAAAUAAAAAUAAAAGACGAUAAGACCCUAUAGAAUUUUAUUAUUUUAUUUAUAAAAAUUUAUUUAAAUUAAUUUAAUUAAAUAAAUAAAAUAAUUUAAUUGGGGUAAUUUAAAAAUUAAAAAAAUUUUUUUUUAAAAAUACAUAAAUUUAUGUUUUAAAAAUCCUAAUAUUUAGAUUAAUAAAUUAAAUUACCUUAGGGAUAACAGCAUAAUUUUUUUUGAAAGUUCUUAUUAAUAAAAAAGAUUAUGACCUCGAUGUUGAAUUAAGAUAAAAUUUUAACGAAAAAAUUUUAAAAUUUAAGUCUGUUCGACU